GAUGAACGCUGGCGGCGUGCCUAAUACAUGCAAGUCGAGCGAACAGAUGAGGAGCUUGCUCCUCUGACGUUAGCGGCGGACGGGUGAGUAACACGUGGAUAACCUACCUAUAAGACUGGGAUAACUUCGGGAAACCGGAGCUAAUACCGGAUAAUAUAUUGAACCGCAUGGUUCAAUAGUGAAAGACGGUUUUGCUGUCACUUAUAGAUGGGUCCGCGCCGCAUUAGCUAGUUGGUAGGGUAACAGCUUACCAAGGCAACGAUCCAUAGCCGGCCUGAGAGGAGGAUCAGCCACACUGGGACUGGGAAACGGCCCAGAGUCCUACGGGAGGCCGCAGUGGGGAAUAGUGGACAAUGGGGGAAAGCCUGAUCCAGCAAUGCGGCGUGAAUGAUGAAGGCCUUAGGGUUGUAAAGCUCUUUUACCCGGGAUGAUAAUGACAGUACCGGGAGAAUAAGCUACGGCUAACUCCGUG
rnacentral:rRNA from 1 species